rnacentral:rRNA from 2 species
GAGUAAUGUCUGGGAAACUGCCUGAUGGAGGGGGAUAACUACUGGAAACGGUGGCUAAUACCGCAUAACGUCGCAAGACCAAAGAGGGGGACCUUCGGGCCUCUUGCCAUCAGAUGUGCCCAGAUGGGAUUAGCUUGUUGGUGAGGUAACGGCUCACCAAGGCGACGAUCCCUAGCUGGUCUGAGAGGAUGACCAGCCACACUGGAACUGAGACACGGUCCAGACUCCUACGGGAGGCAGCAGUGGGGAAUAUUGCACAAUGGGCGCAAGCCUGAUGCAGCCAUGCCGCGUGUAUGAAGAAGGCCUUCGGGUUGUAAAGUACUUUCAGCGGGGAGGAAGGUGUUGUGGUUAAUAACCGCAGCAAUUGACGUUACCCGCAGAAGAAGCACCGGCUAACUCCGUGCCAGCAGCCGCGGUAAUACGGAGGGUGCAAGCGUUAAUCGGAAUUACUGGGCGUAAAGCGCACGCAGGCGGUCUGUCAAGUCGGAUGUGAAAUCCCCGGGCUCAACCUGGGAACUGCAUUCGAAACUGGCAGGCUUGAGUCUUGUAGAGGGGGGUAGAAUUCCAGGUGUAGCGGUGAAAUGCGUAGAGAUCUGGAGGAAUACCGGUGGCGAAGGCGGCCCCCUGGACAAAGACUGACGCUCAGGUGCGAAAGC